rnacentral:rRNA from 1 species
UACGGAGGGAGCUAGCGUUAUUCGGAAUUACUGGGCGUAAAGCGCACGUAGGCGGCUUUGUAAGUUAGAGGUGAAAGCCUGGAGCUCAACUCCAGAAUUGCCUUUAAGACUGCAUCGCUUGAAUCCAGGAGAGGUGAGUGGAAUUCCGAGUGUAGAGGUGAAAUUCGUAGAUAUUCGGAAGAACACCCGUGGCGAAAGCGGCUCUCUGGGACGGUACUGACGCUGAGACGCGAAAGCGUGGGGAGCAAACAGG